CACAUCCUUGCGGCCUCCGGUGCGCAGCUGUGCUCAGGACACUGGCUUGCUGGUGGCGCGGCGCGGGCCGUGGGGCCGACUGCUGUAGCUGCAGCUGACACCGCACUUCACAGUCCGCGUGGGCCUCCCCGUGCGGGAGGGGCCACGGGCCACAGGGCCCGAUCUCCCGCUGAGACGACAAGCUCAAAGGCGUCAGUCGCCGGAAGAGCGCGGGCCGGUGGGGCCCAGGCAUCGGGGCCCCGGGUGGCUCUCAGGCAGCACUAGGGGCAGCCCCCGUGCCCUCCCCCCGCGCCUCACGCCCUGGCCUGACCUUUCCAGACCAGGAGGAUGCGACACCCGUCAGGCUGCAGACCAAGACAAACAGUCUUUGAUGUGAUCAACGUAUGACUCAGGCCUUUGCAGGAUGGUUCCUGUGCUGAGGGAACAAAAAAAAGGCCUUGAAAAGUUGCCAGUGGAAAAGCGUGUGUCACAGCCGAAGGUCUCCACACCCUGCCCCGGGCAGCCCGUGGUGUGGACGUCCGCGUCCUCCCCGGGCUGCAGGCGGACAUCUGCGCCGGUCACUCUGUGGCCAGGAAGUGGUCUGCACCCGUGUGUCACCUGAAGCUUACGCACUCAGGUUCUCGUAAGGCAGGUGGGAGCCAGGUGGGAGCCCCUUCGGACGUGAGGCUGGAGCCUCCCAGGUGCCGUGGCCUCAUGUGCCCCUCAUCCCGUGCCCUUAAGGGGACUUAGCCCCCAUGGCUCCGGUUCCGCUGUCCUCAAUCCUGAGAUCGUUCUCGUGGACUCUUUCCUUCUAGUGACUGGACAUUCUUUCUUUCCUGCACAGACCGAGCAGUUUGAAACCCCCGAAGGUUUGUGGUGUCCGGAGUCUUGGGGAGCGGAGCCGUGGGCUCGGCUGAGUCGUUUCUCCUCUAGCAUUGACCCCGCUACGCGGGGCGCCGAAACCUUUGGAGGACUCCUCCCCAAAGCUGUGUUUGGGCCCUCUGGGUGGUCAUGCUCUGAGGCUGACGGCUCACGAGUGGGGAAGGGUUUGCUCCCACCACACCCCCCGAGCCCGUGCCCUUGGAAGCCCAGCCCGCGAAGACACCGGUGUGACAGACCCCGGGGCCGGCGGCUCUCCGAGUCUUACUUCAGCUGAGCGUCCAGACUUGCCUUCCGGCGCUUUCCGAGUGCCAGGCACUUCCCCAGGCAUUGGACAUGUUGUGGUCAACAAGCGGCACCUUUCUUCCAGGAGCAAAGUGUCCGUUGGAGAGACAGAUGUGGACCCCGUGGGCACAUUUACGUGUUGGCCGGGACACGAAUGGGCGAGCAGCAUGGACACUUGAUUAGUGUCCGUCUCACGUAACAAAGAGGAGAAGGAGCUGCAGACAAGGCCUCUUGCCAGCCCUUUGGAAGCCUGGAGGCUGCGGGCCACACUGGAGUGGAAUCCCUGAGAACAGGGGGCUGUGCCCCGUGGAGCCCAGAGCGGAUGGUCGGUCUUUUAACCCGAGAGAGCUGAGGUUUCCAGACAGAAUAACUUGCCUGAGCUUGAACCAUUGGAAGAAUCUAGGUCUGCUGGUCAAACUGUCUUGUGGAAAGGUUUUUGCCUUGGAAAUGCGUCUGCUCACCCCUCUAUCCCAAGGGUAUCGUCAUCGUGUUCUGAGCUGACAACAGUGACCUGAGCGCGCGGCAUCGCCUGCUGCAUGGGUCCCUACCCGCGGCCAAGAAGAAGGCAGGGGAGGCUCAGGCCGUGGUCUGUGUGAAGAGAAGCCUUCCUGGUGGACUCUGCAGGAGGGGCGGGUGACGUCCCUGCCCAUAGCCGGGAGCCGGUGCUGUUGGGAGCAUAGCCGGGACCAGGGAGGCCCCACUGGCUCCCAUAGGCCCUGCUUCCAGGCGAGUCCCCGAGACCCCUGCAAGGCCAGAGCUCUGGGUCUCACUGGAAGGAGCAGGGCCGUCCCCGAGCUGGUCCUGCAGGGCGUGUGGAAGGGGGAAGGCAGCACUGGAGAGGCUCACUGGGUUGGGGGGAGCCAGGCCAAUGCUCCUUCAGACACAGUAGCCCUCAGCCUCCCUCCUCCUGACGUCCCAGGUGACCAGGGGGCAGGAGAGCCCCGGGGCUCACAGACAGUCCGCGUUGGGGGGAGUGGGAUGGAAUGGUGCCCAUUUCUCUUGUGCAGGAGGACCCAUAGCGCCCAAGCUGCUGGUGGGCUGCAGGCCUCGUGCCUUGGUGAACACUGGGGCCAGACAACCUUGUUUCCCCAGGACAGCCUCCCCUGCACUGCAGACAGCUGGUGGCACACAGAGCCCCCAUAAUCGAAGACGCGAGCCAUCCCUGCCCAGCUGCCCUCCAGAGCGCUGGCCCACCGGAAACCACCCGCAACUGGGGUCACAGAGUCGAACCCCUGGCUGGCUUAAGUUCAGGGGUCAGUGGUCCAGGGUGGGGCCUGGACACCACAGUGUGCAUACUUGCGGUUUGGUGUUGGGUCUGGAGGCUCCCUGGAGAAGCCGCCUCACGGGCAGGUCAGGUUCUGGACUCUUUCUGGUUGUCAGAAUCUCAUGCCAUCAGGACAGCAAUGUGUGAGCUGCUAUUCCUGGGCCCCAAGGGUGCAUGAGGCCCUGUGUGCCCCAGGCUGUCUCACUUGGGAGCUGGGACCUGGGUUGGGACAGAGCCCUUGCCCUCGCCCUGGAGUACGCCCAGCUGCUGGACUCCCCGGCGCCCCCAGCCGGGCACCUGUGGAGUAGAGCGUGUCCAUCCUGGGCUGCUGCGUGGGACCCAGUGACCAGGUCUCUGCUGCAGAAGCAGGCCAGGGGCCGUGAACCCUGAAGCGCUUUCUCUGAGGAGCAAAUUCAGGCCACGACGUGAAGUCUCAUCAGGUCCUCAUAAAGAAGGUGCUGGUCACUUGGGGCCAGACGUGCUGGCCAAGCAAGGACUCCGCCUUGCCAGCUGUAUGAGCUCAGUGCUUUGUGUCCCCUGGAAGGGGCUGUCCCCUCCUACGUGGGGAGGUGGCCAUCAGAUCAGCUCUUAAGAGAAGCAGACUCACACCUACACGUGCACACGUGCUUGUACACAAGGCACACUCAUCACAGGACACACACGUGCACGCACAUGCACACGUGUGUGUAUGGCAUAUAUCACACACGCAUGCAAUGCACACAGCACAGGCACACACCAGGGGACAUACAAUGCACAUACAUGUACACACAGAGAGCACAGGCACACAUUACAGGACACACACAUGUUCAUACAUGUACACAGACCGCAAUGCACACACAUGUGUACUAUAUACAUCUCAUGUGUGCACAUACACAGGGCACACGCACAUACACCAUCAGACCAAAGGAAACUUUUCCUAGUUUCGUCCUCCACGAUACUCGUGUGAUCUGGUGCGUUUGGAGGCGACAUGGAAGGGAGACGUGGGGAAGAUGUCUGUCUGGAGGACAGUGAGCCCCGUUUUGGGGAGGAGCUUGGAGGGUUGGGCUGGGUGGCACCGGGGGGCUCUGGGAGACUAAGUUAAGCAGUGUGGACCCUGCCCCUGGGGUGAGGGGGCCUUCAAGUCUGCCAGGCGUGGUGGGGAAAAAAGCUGGCAUGAGGACAAUGGCUGGGGUCUAGAUUCUCGGCUGAGCCCUUGAGUGGCUGUUCCUUUGCCUUGGUCCCCGUGAGGAAGGUGAGGCCAAAAUCCAGGGCCUGCCUGGCCAUGAGGAUGGUGAUGGCAUUGACAGAGCGCCUGGGUGGCCUCGUCUCCUGGAAGGGGCAGUGAGGGGACGGGGUGGAUCUUCCUAUACCUGGGUUAGGAGGAGUGGGGCAGCCCUGGACGGGGCUGGGGCACAGGAGCAGGCCACCCCUGGAGCUCCAUGGCAGAGGUCAGAGAAGAAACAGAGCUGGGGGCUGGCAGCUCAGUGGGCAGGCAGGGGACGCGGGACACAGGGACAUCGUCACCGACGUUUCCUCUAGCCCAGCUCUCGAGCAAAACAGGUGUGUGUAGAGAUCAGCUGACUAUUUCACUAGAACUCUGUUUUC